UAGAUUGGUGUAAGUAGCUACUUUGUUAAUACUUUUAUAAUGUUUGCUUUACAUUUCUCAUUAGUAGAAAACCUACAAGGUGAGGCACAAAAUAAAUAUUUCAUGUCACUUAAUGUCUGGUAACAGUUCAAAAGUCAGCUUUUGUUUACUUUUGUUAGCAGUUUUAUGACAUUUUAAACCCAAAUUUCACUUUGAGUUUCCUCCCUGUGGGCCAAAUAUAUUCAGUUUUAAACUUCUAAUCAGCUCGCCAAGAUGGAAAGAGACGACCGUGCUGCGUUGCAGUCACCAACCUCGAUAUGAGUGCUGAGGUGGUGGGGGAGACAUAUCGUCAGCAGGCCGCAACACCACCCUGUGUGAAGGCUAUAAUUUUCAACACAGAACAUGGACCGCUUUGUGCUGAUCCAAACGCUCAGUGGGUCAAAGAUCUCAUUGCGAGCAUGACGAGGGUAUGAAGUACAAAGUGUGAGGUGAAGCAUCGCUGCCUGUCGGCUCAUCAGUAUCUCCUCAUGAAUUUUAUUCGAACUUUUCUUUGAAAUGUUUUUAUUACUUUACUCUUUUAAUUCUGUUCUUGUUCUUAUAUGACUUUAUAGUGACGACUAAUAAUGGACGUGAAUCUAUGCUUACACGAACGAACCAACUGAUUUUCUUUUUUUUUUUUUAAGUUUAGUUACAUAUUUAGUUUCAAAUCUUCUUUUAUUCUUUAUUUUUUGCUUUUAUGAUUCCAUUUAUCUGUGUAUAUCAUGAUGUUUUGCAAAGCUGACUCUGACAAAUGAUAUCCAAAUAAACUUUGACCACCAGUCAUUCAAUAAAUCUAAUAUCUUAA